AUUGAACGCUGGCGGCAGGCCUAACACAUGCAAGUCGAACGAGUGGCGGACGGGUGAGUAAUGUCUGGGAAACUGCCCGCUGGGGGGGGAUAACUACUGGAAACGGUAGCUAAUACCGCAUACCAUCGGAUGUGCCCAGAUGGGAUUGGCUAGUAGGUGGGGUAACGGCUCACCUAGGCGACGAUCCCUAGCUGGUCGGAGAGGAUGACCAGCCACACGGGAACGGAGACCCGGCCCAGAUCCUGACGGGAGGCAGCAGUGGGGAAUAUUGCACAAGGGGGGAAAGCCUGAUGCAGCCAUGCGGCGUGUAUGAAGCAGGCCUUCGGGUUUUAAAGUACUUUCAGCGAGGAGGCGUUACUCGAAGAAGAAGCACCGGCUAACUCCGUGCCAGCAGCCGCGGUAAUUC
rnacentral:rRNA from 1 species